rnacentral:rRNA from 1 species
GUUUGCCUACGGGGGGCAGCAGUGAGGAAUAUUGGUCAAUGGGCGGGAGCCUGAACCAGCCAAGCCGCGUGAAGGAAGAAGGCGCCAGGCGUCGUAAACUUCUUUUGUCGGGGAACAAAGGGCGCCACGUGUGGCGUUGUGAGUGUACCCGAAGAAAAAGCAUCGGCUAACUCCGUGCCGGCAGCCGCGGUAAUACGGAGGAUGCGAGCGUUAUCCGGAUUUAUUGGGUUUAAAGAGUGCGCAGGCGGAGGGGCAAGUCAGUGGUCAAAUUGCGGGGCUCAACCCCGUACAGCCGUUGAAACUGG